GGUUCAAGAUGAACGCUAGCUACAGGCUUAACACAUGCAAGUCGAGGGGCAGCAUUUGAAAGCUUGCUUCAAAGAUGGCGACCGGCGCACGGGUGAGUAACGCGUAUCCAACCUUCCCCUUAGUAGGGCAUAGCCCGGCGAAAGUCGGAUUAAUACCCUAUGUUUUCCGUUGAGGACAUCUGAAGUGGAACAAAGAUUUAUCGCUAAGGGAUGGGGAUGCGUCUGAUUAGGUAGUCGGCGGGGUAACGCCCACCGAGCCAACGAUCAGUAGGGGUUCUGAGAGGAAGGUCCCCCACAUUGGUACUGAGACACGGACCAAACUCCUACGGGAGGCAGCAGUGAGGAAUAUUGGUCAAUGGGCGUGAGCCUGAACCAGCCAAGUAGCGUGCAGGAAUGACGGCCCUAUGGGUUGUAAACUGCUUUUGCAGGGGAAUAAAGUGAGGCACGUGUGCCUUUUUGUAUGUACCCUGAGAAUAAGGACCGGCUAAUUCCGUGCCAGCAGCAGC
rnacentral:rRNA from 1 species